UAGUUCCCGGAAACAUUUGCCC
rnacentral:piRNA from 1 species